rnacentral:lncRNA from 1 species
CCCAAUCGCAUUUAUACAUCAAGAUGGCUGCCCGCUGCGGCGCUGCUGCGGCUGCGCGUCAGUGCAUAUAUGUGGGGGCCCCCUCCGAGCACCACCAAGGGACCGACGCGCCACCUGGCGCACCACCACGCCGUGGCGAGCGUGAGGCGAGCUUAGGCGCUUAUCAGUCUCGGCCUGGCCGCCGAUCUGGACAGACCUUUCGGUCUUACGCCUUAUUGUUUUCUACAGUCGUUAAUAAUAUAAGUUGUUUGUCAUUACACGCCAAGUCAUCAUUUAUUAAACUGGUCUGUCCUAUUCCUGCCGUAUCUCCAAUCGGAGCACAGAAGGGACUCUUUCAUUUCCAAAUAUAUGCAUAGCAUUUGCGAGGGAAAAUCCGUUACUGUUACUGCACAUGUGCCUACGCCAUUACUAGAUGCACCACGCCGUGCAAUUUCUUAUACUUAAUACUUAAUUAAUUAAUACAUAAAAAUAAGAUCUUCAAAAAGUGAAUGUUUUAGAGAAUAGCAGCGUUUCUAGAGACAAAGGAAAUAUCAGAUCGGUCUCUUUCAAGCCACAGCUGGUCAUGAGAGCCCUAUAAAUAUAUAGUAUUAUUACGACAGUGAAAAGCAGUGUUUUUAGCUCCGACAUCCCCUUAAUAUGCAUUUCAUGUCCAUGUAUCGAGAAAGAUUGUGUAAAUAGCAAUUAAAUUGAUAUACAUUUAUAUUAUUAAUUUCAGAGCACCUCCUAAACGUUCUAAAUUCACUCCGGUAGUGCCACAUUUCGUGGAUCCAGAGUAAUAUGAUGAUGCCAUAAUAUAACUAUUUAUUUUACUGCUAAAUUAUUUUAUAAAAUUGAGAAAUAAUCAUAAACUUUUGAAAUAAUAUUCUGUUAUUUAUUUAUAAAAACCCUGGUAAUAUACAAAAUAAAAAUUUCUGGAUAUUAUGAAGAUUGUAUAUAGUUAUAAAAUUUCAAGGAAUUUCAUUAAAUAUUUAGUUGGCGUUCCGGUUGGCGUCUACCUGCAGUACAGCAAAGAUUUCCAGAUCAAGAACCAGUACAUAUUAUAGAAGAUAAUAGCCCUAUUCAUACGGCUAGGCGAAUCAGGCAAUUGUACGAAGCACAUCCACGUCUCAAUCGACUUCCUUGGCCUGCAAGAUCUCCAGAUUUAAACCCGAUAGAAAAUUUGUGAUCAGAAAUGUUGACGGAUUGGACUCCAGAUAGGGCAACAAAUCAUGGCCAACUCCGUCGUGAGGUCACAAAAGCUUGGAACAAUUUAAGAAACAAGCAAAACUAUUGCCAAAAUCUAAUCAAUGCAAUGCCGAGAAGGAUGCAAGCCGUAAUUGAAGCUAGAGAUAAUUAUUUCAGCAUCCGAUGCAUUGCUUAACUAUUUUAACAAAACUUUAAUUUAUACGAAAAGUAAAAUAAGAAUAAAAAGCUAAUAUUUUUGAAACGUAUAACCUAAAAUUAAAAUUAAUUAAUUAUAAACUUUUUAAAAAUAUUGAAAUAAUUAAAAAACUAUUAAUUUUGAACCAUCAUCUAUUUACUUGCUAUCCGAAUUUUUAAAAGAGCACUAUAAUUAGGAUGCAGCGUUUCGCCACAGUGCGGUGCUGUGAAAAUGGCAGCACGCGAUUUUCAGUUGUUUGAAAAUUAUUGCUACCUGCAAAAAUUCAGUAGACGAGAUCGGGAAGCUUAAUUGUUAUUUAAAAAGUUAAUUGUUGAAGAAAAUGAGGGCUGAAGAUAUAGCAAUUGCUGCGCGAGUGAGAGAGCAUCCCAUGCUCUACGAUAAAAAUCACCCGUAUAACCAAAAUACGUAUCUGAAGGCAGAGGCCUAAUAGAUGAUCAGUGAUCAAUUGGGGUUAGAUGUUAAUUUUGUCUAUCAGAGAUGGAACUGCCUAAGAAAGAGAUAUGGAUACCUCCAUCGGCUUCUUAUCGGAGGGAGGAAGGUUGGGACGUUCACCGAGUCCUCUAGAAGAGUGCUGGUGGACCUACAUUUUUUAUUUAAUUUCACGCAGCGUCAGGAAAGCUUUAAUAAAAAUGCAAUUCGCGAAAUUCAACAGCACGAAGAAAAUGUAAAUAGAAGGGUUAAUAUUAGAUAGAAUAAAUCAUUCAAUUUGAUGAUUGUAAAGAAGUAGUAAAUAAAUAAAUAAUCUAUUUCUGUUAA